GGCUUCCUACGGGAGGCAGCAGUGGGGAAUUUUGGACAAUGGGCGCAAGCCUGAUCCAGCAAUGCCGCGUGAGUGAAGAAGGCCUUCGGGUUGUAAAGCUCUUUUGUCAGGGAAGAAACGGCCGCGGCUAAUAUCCGCGGCUAAUGACGGUACCUGAAGAAUAAGCACCGGCUAACUACGUGCCAGCAGCCGCGGUAAUACGUAGGGUGCAAGCGUUAAUCGGAAUUACUGGGCGUAAAGCGUGCGCAGGCGGUUUUGUAAGUCUGACGUGAAAUUCCCGGGCUCAACCUGGGAAUUGCGUUGGGGACUGCAAGGCUGGAGUCUGGCAGAGGGGGGUAGAAUUCCACGUGUAGCAGUGAAAUGCGUAGAGAUGUGGAGGAACACCGAUGGCGAAGGCAGCCCCCUGGGCCAAGACUGACGCUCAUGCACGAAAGCGUGGGGAGCAAACAGGAUUAGAUACCCUGGUAGUCCACGCCCUAAACGAUGUCUACUAGUUGUCGGGUCUUAACUGACUUGGUAACGCAGCUAACGCGUGAAGUAGACCGCCUGGGGAGUACGGUCGCAAGAUU
rnacentral:rRNA from 1 species